GGCCCAGUGGCGUAAUUGAAAGCGCGUCGGUCUACGAAACCGGAGGUUGCAGGUUUGAGCCCUGCCUGGGUCA